UACGUAGGGUGCAAGCGUUGUCCGGAAUUAUUGGGCGUAAAGAGCUCGUAGGCGGUUUGUCACGUCGGAUGUGAAACCCCGGGGCUCAACCCCGGGCCUGCAUUCGAUACGGGCAGACUAGAGUUCGGCAGGGGAGACUGGAAUUCCUGGUGUAGCGGUGUAAUGCGCAGAUAUCAGGAGGAACACCGGUGGCGAAGGCGGGUCUCUGGGCCGAUACUGACGCUGAGGAGCGAAAGCGUGGGGAGCAAACAGG
rnacentral:rRNA from 1 species